GAGCCCUAGCCUCUUCGCCCGAUUCCUCCCCUCUCGCCCGACGCUGCCUCUCCCUCACUCGGCGUGGAGCAUUGAUCCUCCUCAUCUUCCCCAUCCGACACCGUUUCCUAUUCUCCUCGCAUACAAAACCCUUCGGCCAAAGGAAAGCCUAAAGCCCUAGCGUCACCUUCCCCUCACGUGCUGCCUCUCGUGAUUCCUCAUCGUGCUAGCCAUCGAGCUUCGACGCCGAUGAGUCCCGAUCGCCUUCCCUCUGCCCUAGUGUCGACGACCCAUUUCUCUUCCACCUCUGGCCACUACAAGUGCUAGCCAACCAGUGACGAGCCUUCCUCUCCCGAUGCUCUCAGUUUCUCCUUGCCUCACACCGCCGAUUCGUGCCCUAGCUCUCUGAAUCGCCGCAUUUGUGCGCUAUAGCUCUGAUCUCUGAUUCCCUCUGGCUAAUCCUCCAUAUCUAGGGUUAGUAUCAGUUCUUUUACUCUGCUCUGAGGUGAAGCGCUUGGCCAGAUUCACUGUACCGGCAAAGCAACACUUCUCCGACUGAAUCAACAGUGAAGCAUUCGAAAUUGGUUUUGUUUGCAAUGUCGGCAAUAGAUUUCUAGCAGCAACUUCUCCUAGGGCCAGCUACUUUGCUCCAAUAGUAGGUAUUCUCCUACAGUGAGUUAUCGGCUGAGGCAUUCAACUCAGGACGUUGACUCGAGACGAGCGUCUCGACGUAGGAUUUCUGGUCAUGAUCUUAUUUUGAGGCGGGUACCUUUGAUUUAUCUCUUUUGAUAUUGUCAUUAUGAUAUGCAUAGUAAUUUAUAGCUGGUAGUAAUAGUUAUGUUUUUAGCUACCAUUGGUAUGUCACUACUUGAUACUUAAAGCAUACCUUUGUUUGUUAUUAUCUGUUAUGCAUUUAGACUUAUAUUCUUAUGUUCUUGCCAUGUGUACUUAUGAUCAUAUAAGUAGUGACAUAUAUUGUCUUACUGUGUACAGGACUAGUUAUUGAUAUGUGUACCUAGUUUCAUGAUACUUAGAUCGUUGUUGGAUUUCUUUACCUUUUGGUAUAUAUUAUGGAGGUGUCAGGAUUUACAUGUUGUAGUGUCAUGCGCCAUCUUGCAUGAUUGCAUGCUAAGUGAUUGUCGGCUCUAUUGUUGUUGAACACAUCGCCAGUUACAUGAUUUGCAUACACAACUACUCAUGGGUUAGUGGCAUAUCAAGCAGGGUGUGUGCAGUUUGCUCUGUCAAGGCUCCGAUGAUCCGCUCAUGGGAAGCGAUGACUGCAACGUGUAGCGGACAGGGAUCCCUCCCCUUGACCAUGAUACAUGGAGAUGAGAGCUUAGGCUCCCCCACUAUGUUUGAGGUAGGAGGAUAGGUGUACUCCGACAACAUCAUGUCCACUCAAUCACUUAGGA